CGCGUAGGCGGCCACCGCAAGUCGACUGUGAAAUCUCCGGGCUUAACCCGGAAAGGUCAGCCGAUACUGCGGGGCUAGAGUGCAGAAGGGGCAACUGGAAUUCUCGGUGUAGCGGUGAAAUGCGUAGAUAUCGAGAGGAACACCUGCGGCGAAGGCGGGUUGCUGGGCUGACACUGACGCUGAUGCGCGAAAGCUAGGGGAGCGAAC
rnacentral:rRNA from 1 species